CCCCGCCUCUUCCGGUAACGGCGCGGAGACCUCGCGCUCUCGUUUUGCUGCCGGUAUGGCUGCCCCGGGGCCGGCCCGGCUCCUCCGGGCCGCUGCUGCUUCUUCCCGCCGCUGGCUUUUUUCCGCCUCGCCGGCAGCCGGGACGAGGCCGGGCUGCGGCAGCGCCGCCGCUGCCGUGAGGGCGGCCCGGUUGUUCAGCGUCUCUGCCCGGGCGGCGCUCAGCUCAGAAGAUAAAAUAACUGUUCAUUUCAUAAAUCGUGAUGGUGACAAACUAACGGCCAAAGGAAAACCUGGGGAUUCACUGCUGGAUGUUGUUGUUAACAAUAACCUAGACAUAGAUGGUUUUGGUGCAUGUGAAGGAACGCUAGCCUGUUCAACUUGUCAUUUAAUCUUUGAAGACCACAUAUUUGAGAAACUAGAUGCAAUUACUGAUGAAGAAAUGGACAUGCUGGACCUGGCAUAUGGCCUCACAGAAACAACCACGGGAGGGUUGAGGUUGAAAGGGACCUCUUGAGGUCAUCUGGUCCAACCCCCUGCUCAAGCAGGGCCACGUAGAGCCGAUGCCCAGGACCAUGUCCAGACGGCUUUUGAAUAUCUCCAAGGAUGGAGACUCCACAGCCUCUCUGAUCACGGUUAGGCUGCCAAAUCUGCUUGAAGAAAUUGAUGGAUAAUAUGACUGUUCGAGUACCAGAAGCUGUUGCUGAUGCUAGACAAUCAAUAGAUAUGAGUAAAAACUCCUAAAAGAAAAUAUUUUGGGGGUUUUAAAGAGGCUUAAUUAUUUUUAUAACUUAUUUUUAAAUGUGUAAUUGAAUACAGAAACUUCCAUAAUUGUGAGUUAUUUUAUAUGACUAUCAAUAUUAGAUUAAUGCUAUUUUAAUUUUCUUUAUAGAACCUCCUAUAUUUUUACGCUUAAAAUGCAAUAAUACUUCUUAUAACUGAUCAUUUGAUUGUAAAUGUUAGCAAGUGUAUUACAGAUUUCAUGUAAUGCUGUUCUGCCAAAACCUUUAAUGAUGUUUGAAAACUGGAUCACUUCUACAAGACUUCGAAAAACUCAUCUGCAUUUCUAGGUUUCAGACCUGGAUAUCUAAGAGAACAAAAUCUGUAGGACUGCAUGGGGUCUUGUAAAAGCGCUGUCAUUAAAGGUGGAAUGCUCAGAGCUAAUUCACAUUCUCAUUAUGGUACUUGCUCAGCAAACAGUGGAUUUCCAGGGUAGGGAUUUUCCAGACUUUGGAAUCUUCAUGAGAUGUGGCAAAUUUUGUCUUGCAAAAAAUACUGUUAAAACUAUGAAAUCUGGGGACAGAUACAGAAUGUUGGCACCUGCAGCUUAAUUGCUGCAGUGCACCUCUGUUGCCCGAAUAGAAAUCAAUAAACCUCAUUUAUGUUUAAUUACACCACAAAUAUGGCAUGCACGUGGCUUAGAGUAAAGCUGGAAGCUGUCUAAUGGGAGAGCGGAACCACUGGAGGUAAAUGUGAAUUCUUGCUGUUCUCUGAAGACGACCAAGUUGGGAUUGAAGAGGGCACUGUUUGUCAACGUAAAAUUUGUUCUGGAAUAGUUAUCCCUUUUUCAAUUUUGAGCCUGUUCAGGAGGCAGCCUGGUGUUAGGUGGGCAUUCAGCUUCAGGAGUUCCCUAGACUCUGGGCCUUGCUCUCGGGAUGAUGUCAGUAAAGGUUGAUGUGUAAUGACCAAGUAUUUAUUCCAUGAAGACAGGCUAUGAUCCCCAAAAGCAGGGAAACCUCCAUGGUGGGAUGGUGUGUGGUCUGAUGAUGAAGAGCUUUUGGUUUGAUCUUGUGUUAGUCUUCUAAAGUAGACCAAAAUAAAAUAACAUCUCUAAUACUCUUUAUUAUUUUCUCCAGUUUUUGUUGCCUAAAUACUUAAAUGAAAUGGUUGUCACUAAUACAAUAGCUAUUACGCUUAUAAGGUUAUUCUAAUAUUUUGUGGUGUAUUUUAUAUGUAUAUAUAUAUAUAUACACAGAUAUAUAUAACAUGUUUAUUUGUUUACAUUUGAAUGGUCUAAUGCACUCAUUAAUGCCUUAUUUGAACUGGUGACAAUGACAUCUAGACAUCUUUUCUUGCAUUACUAUACAUACGGGAGAGGUGAAGAAAAUAUUAUUUUUCCCAUGUCAAAUAUUUAGAUGAUUUUGAAAUUCAUAAAGAGAAAAAAAUGUCCCUCUUUGUUAUAAAAAGAAAUAUCUUCUAGAACUGUAUUGCAAAUAGGUCUAGUUCAGAUGCUUUAAUUUCUUCUCUGAGUAGCUAUUACUUUUUCCUGGUGUUCCCUUUGGCCUUUCCCCUAAAACAAGAUAUGCUUAAUGUGUCUGCUCAGAACUUAAAUCAUAUAGGGUGUUCAAAACACACUUCCUGUCUCAUCUAAUUCAAAAUAUGACUUCGGCGUUGAAAUUAUGUGGCUUUUUGAAAGAUGGAGGGAGCGAGGUCAGGGAGAGGGCAGAAAUAAAUUGGAGAAAUGUUCUGAAGAUACUGCUGUCUUCCUCUUCAGCAGCUGUGACUCUAACCAUAAUUUCCAGGUUACCUCACACAAUCAGGCACUAAGGUAAAUCAGUUCUCACUUUGUGUUGCCUUUGUCCUGAGUUCAGUUAUAUGCAAUGAUUAUUAGUAAGUCCUGAACUUGUAUUUUUUAUGUGGGACACAGCUCUUUAGCUUCCAAGAGGGGGAACUUGAAUCAUAACCACAUGUACUGUGUGUUCUUACAUAGGAAAGAAAUCCAAGGUUUCAAUAUAAUGCUGGCAUUUGGGGGUAAGUGUUGGUGUUCGGGUUUUGGUGUUUUCGUGUUUGUUUUUUGUUUGUGGUUUGUGGUUUUGUUUGUGGGGUUUUUUUGUUUGUGUGUUUGUUUUACUUAUAGCACCAGACACUUCUCCUUGUGGGAAUCCUGAAGGGCUUUAACACUACCUUAAACAAAUGAGAAACAGCUCUCGCAACUGUUCUCUUUCUAAGCCAAGGUUCUUUCAUUGUGCAUCUCCAGUGGCAGCUUCUUGUUGCAAAGACUUUGACUCUCCCAUAGUGUGCCUGUGGCAGGAAUUACUUAGCACAGCAAGGCAAAAAAAGGGCACUCCAAAGUUUGUGUUGAAUUGUAGAUGUAUUCCAUACUGCAUGCAAAUGGAAAUGUCAGAAGGUGAAUCCCCAAAAUGCACAUCUCAGAGAAACUUGUUUUCUUAUUGCCAAAAUGAUUUGCAAAUAAAUCUUAUUUUAUACCACUUUCUGA